UGGGGCUUGGCCACAUCCAUGAGCUGCACAGAGCCAUUCCUGGAAAAGGCCAGCACCUGGGAAGCAAAGGGAUGGCAACGGGGACUUCUCUGUCACCCCCGUUUGGAAUAAGAGAGGCAGCUGGACAUCCAGGCCAGCAACAGAGAGAACGGAUUUGCUCGGGGAGCAGAGAAACAUGUGUGUUUACUUCUCCGGUGUCCCCAGCAGCAACCGGCCCUUUUCCAGGUGCCGUGUCUGAUGCCGGGUGGCGCUCCCCACUCCUGCCCCAGCUUCUCUUCUGGCUCACCAGCAUCCCUGUCCAGGAGCUGGCCCUCCACGUGGCCGGAUGCAGUGCUGCCCUCGGCACACGUAUGCUUUCCUCCCCAUCCUCGGAGACCCCGCUCCAUCCCACGGCCCUUCCUGGCCCGGGUUCGGAGACCGGCCUCUCUCCUGCCUGGCUCCUUCCUCCCUGUAGAUGAACCUGCUAGAUGCGCCUGAUCAAGUGGUCCUCCAGCUGCCACACCACCUCCCCGCCCCUCACACUCCAACACCUGAGAGCGCGUCCUCACCUUCUCUGCCUCGUCCUGUCACUUCCUCCCGAAAGCAGCCCCCCACCCCCACUGACUUCUGCAGGCUGAGGUGUGGUGACCCCUGUCUCUGUUCUGUGGCAUCCAGGGCCCAGCGCAUCACAGCCUCUCUCGUCUCCCAGGGCAGCUGUGCGGUGAUUCGUCUGCCUUCCCAGCUGAACCGUGCCAUCUGCGAGGGCGGUGGCUUGUUCUUUCGUCCCUGUGCGCCCCAAAGCUAGUCUAGUGCCUCGCACUUGACAGGCCUUCAACAAACAGUCUUUGAAGGGAAAACGAACACGCUUGCUGAAGAGGAGCGAGGGCCGUGAGGAACCUACCAUGCCAGGUCCAGAGACAGAACAUCACCUGCUCCCUGGAAGCUUCGCAGGGGCCCGUCUCCAGUCACAACCUCCUGGCGAGAGCAGCACCCAUUCUCUUGGCUUUUCCAUAAGCACUGCACAAGUUGGGGGUGCUCCACUUCCUUGAGCCAAGACUCCUUGGGCAAUCUGUACACAUCCAGCCAAAUCUCUCCGGCUCCUGCAUUGGGAAACCACGGACCCGUUGAGCAAUCACGAGCAGGCGAGAAGUCGCCUGUGAGGGAUGGCCUGUCUUCUCAGAACCCCUGGCCCAGAGACCUGCUGGCGCCCUCGGAACGGCAACUUUGACAAACGGAAGGAGAUGUCAUUGCAAGUCCUUGCUCCUGGAGAGCUGGUGAGCCCCGACCUAUGGGCCUCUGCCACCUGAAGGAAACAGGGCUCCUCCCACUCACAGCGCUGAGAUGACCGUUUUUUAACCAAGCUGCCUGCUCUGGCCGGUCCCCAUGUUUUCUAGGCUCCAAAUGGUAAAUUUCAGUGACAUUCUGUCCCACAGCUUUUCCCGUCUGGGGAGGACGGUGGUAUAAACAGCCUCAGUAACUGAGAGGGGCACGGCUGAGGGCUAGAAUUGGGAGAGAUCGCUCAAGAGCAUUCUUGGGGCUGAUAUUAGAGGAGGUCACAACCCACGGAAGUGGCUGUGGGGCUUUAACUCAUCAUAGAAACGCACUCAGCUCCUAUCUGGAAUUCCUGUCAACCUGGGAAGGCUUGCGUUCCCAUGGUGUGGACAUCUGGCUCAGUGUUUCCUCUAGAAAGUAAUCAUCUGGACACCUGGGUUUCAGACUUCCGCCCCCCAGUCCUGUGAGAGAAUAAAUAUCUUUGGUUUUGAGCCACCCGGUUUGUGGUGCUUGGUUGGGGCAGCCCCAGGAACUACUAAAGAGUAUAAAAGCUUCCUUUGAUGCAUAAAACAUUAUGAAGUAUACGCUUUCUCUCAAGCACUUCACAUUUGAGGGGCCCGGGGCAAGAAUAUAAAUAGAGGCCCAAAGUUAAAAAUCAAGCAAACAGUCACUUGAAUAAAAUAUGUCCUAUCACCAUAGUAAUGAUUACAGCAGGUAGGAUCCAAGGAUGAAUGCUGGAACUGGUGACCAUCCUUUAAGGGGACCCAGGAUACGUGCGUUGCCUCGUGUUUAUCAUUACUGUGGUGGUUUCAAUAUAUGCCCCCAAAUUCUUUGAUCCUCCUACCUCAAAGAGGUAGAGAGGCUUCAAUCCUCUGCCCCAGAGUGUGGUCCAGGUAUAGUGACUUGCUUCUAACAGAGUACGGGAAGGGAAGUGUUUUAUCAAUGGAGGAAUCUGGCAGACACCUGUUGGGCAGGUGAUGUCGCUAGCACAUACACCCUGAUAUACAGUGACGAGAGCACUUUGCCCCUGUGGCAUCUCCCCCAAAUCCUUAGCCCCAGUUGAAUCAUGAGAAAAAUAUCAGGCAAAUUGAAAUUGAGAGACAUUGUGCAAAAUAUCGAAUCGGUAUUCUUCAAAAAAGCGUCGAGGUCAAGAAAAACAAAGACCAAGAAAUUGUCAUAGAUGGGAGUAGACUAAGAAGACACGAUGAGUAAAUAUAAUAUGAUAUCCUGAACUGAGCCUUGGAACAGAACUAUUAGUGGAAAAACUGGCGAAAUCUGGGGGGAAAAAAAACCUUUAGUUAAUAGUAUUAUACCAAUGUCAUUGCUUAAUUUUGACAAAUGGUCACAUUAAAUGUCGGUAUUGGGGAAGCUGGGCGAAGGGUGCAGGGGAACUCUGUACCUAUCUUUGUAGCUCUUCUGUAAAUCUUUGCAACGUUUCUGUAAAUAAUUUCUAAAUAAAACGUUUGGAAAAAAGGUGGUCGUCUGCAAGAGACUACACAUCUGAACCUUCUCAACCACCUUUGGUUAAUCUUGCCUUGUAGGAGGAAGGCUGCGAAGUCGCCUCCGUGGGAGAUCUCCGUCUUCAGACAGGUGGUUUGCUUGCUGGUAUCGUCCUGGGAAGAAGAGAGGGGCGGAAAGAGGGAGCUCAGCCUGAGGGCGGACGGGAGUGUGUUUCGGGGUCUCUUGGGGUUCAUACCAGGAAACAUGAGUCCUUUUAAAGCUCAUGACACAAAAAAGAUGUCUCAAAAUGCUUCAUAUUUCCCAUUUUUGUACAGGAGUUGGUCAAGAUCAUAUGUAAAGAAGCAGAACUCGAUUUUCUGCCUAAACGUUUUUGGACUUAUUUCCUGGUUUUUUAAAUAUUCCAGAUGGUUGUGGUGAUUGCAUACUAUCUGUUCUCCUGGUCAUAUCUGCAAACUCUAAAGACCUGUGCCAGCACUCAGUUAUUCAAAAUGAGAUGAAGAAAGUUCUACUGAAAACUCUGGUCAGCCACUUGAAGAAAGGCUCCAUCUGGACCUUAGCAGUGCCUCUGUCUGUUCCGGCUGCUAUAACAAAAUACCAUAGACUGGAUGGCUCACAAACGAUGAACCUUUAUCUCUCACAGUCCUGGAGGCUGGAAAUCUAAGAUUUCCAAAGACUUCAAGAACCUGGCCGAUGCAGUGCCUGCUAAGGGCCUGUUUCCUGGUUCACAGAUUUCCUGCCUGCCACCUUCCCGGUGUGUCCUUACAUGGCA